rnacentral:rRNA from 1 species
AUUGAACGCUGGCGGCAUGCCUUACACAUGCAAGUCGAACGGCAGCAUGGAGAGCUUGCUCUCUGAUGGCGAGUGGCGAACGGGUGGGUAAUGCAUCGGAACGUUCCGUGUAAUGGGGGAUAACGUAGCGAAAGUUACGCUAAUACCGCAUACGACCGGAGGGUGAAAGCAGGGGAUCGCAAGACCUUGCGUUAUACGAGCGGCCGAUGUAAGAUUAGCUAGUUGGUGAGGUAAAGGCUAACCAAGGCGACGAUCUGUAGCGGGUCUGAGAGGAUGAUCCGCCACACUGGGACUGAGACACGGCCCAGACUCCUACGGGAGGCAGCAGUGGGGAAUUUUGGACAAUGGGGGCAACCCUGAUCCAGCCAUGCCGCGUGAGUGAAGAAGGCCUUCGGAUUGUAAAGCUCUUUCGGCCGGGAAGAAAUCGCACAGGCUAAUACUCUGUGUGGAUGACGGUACCGGCAUAAGAAGCACCGGCUAACUACGUGCCAGCCGCCGCAGUAA